rnacentral:lncRNA from 1 species
GUGAGUUUUCACAAGAUCUGGUUUGUUUAAAAGUGUGUGACACCUCCCACUCUCUCUCUUCCUCCUGCUCCUGCCUGUAAGAUGCCUGCUCCUCCUUUGCCUUCUGCCAUGAUCGUAAGCUUCCUGAGGCCUCCCCAGAAGUAGAUGCUGGCAUGCUUCCUGUAUAGCCUGCAGAACCAUGAGCCAAAAUAAACCUCUUUUCUUUAUAAAUUACCCAGGCUUGGAUAUUUCUUUAUAGCAGUGUGAGAACAGACUGAUACACAUGACUUCUCUCAUCAUUACUUCAUCUUUGCUUGCACUUUUAAUUCUUUCUGGAAAUUCCAUCCACGGAUGUGGGAAUAUCUGGAUCUUCCUCUUGGUUCAUUCCUUCUGGGUACCGGGAGAAUUCUUCAGCUUGGAAUUCCAGCUCCUGAAUUCGUUCUUCAGCUGCGUCCAUUAUGCUAUUUAUCCCAUCAAUUGAUUUCUAUUUUCCUUUUGACAAUCAAAUGUGUAAUUCCCAAGCUCUGCAACUGCUUCUGUUUUGGAUGUCCUCAGCAUUCCCUGAAGAUAGUGAUGUUUGCGAGUGUGUGUGUUUUAAAUCUCUUCCCUUUGCUGUUUAAUUUUAUUUCUGUGGCAUUUGUUUUUCUGUUGUUGGGUCUGGUCUUCUUGUUACUCAAAGACCUGGGGAUCCCUGGUUGCCAGAUCAGUGCUGUAGCCGGAACUACUCGUUCCUCUGCCCCCUGGUCUGAAGCCACCCCCAACAAUGGUGUAGGGGCAAGGAGUGGGCCAAGCUCUUGUUCUUCCAGGGCCCUGUCCCUCUGGGUGCAGCACUUACUCUCACAGAUGGAAGGGAGCAAAUGUCUUUGCUUCCCACGGCCUGAGGAAAACCACCAUGCUGGGGUCAGGGACCCUGAUCUGUGCCCUACCUACCCACUUUUCAGCCACCUGGCUCCGAACUUGGCUCCUCUGCUCUCCAGGCAGCCUUCUACAAAUGCUUCAGAGCUGUGGCUGUUUUCCUGUAGCUAUUCCUGUCUACUUCCCACCUUCCAAGAAUCCCAGAUGUUUUUAAGUCACUAAAGAUGAUGUUUCUU